CCCCUGCGCCGCCGCUGCCAACCCGGAAGGAGCCCGGAGGGGCCCGGGCGGCCAGGGCGCCCCCGCCAGGAGGCCCGCCAGGUGUCCACCUGAGCCCCACGCCCUGCGCCGCGGGGCCCUUUUGGGGGCGGGGUGCCAGCUCCGAGGUGUCCUCCCACGGGCUGUAGACUGGGAAACUGAGGCCCGGGCCACGGUCCCAGACGCAGCCGGGACCCGAACCCACCUCACCUGAGCGAAUGAUAUCCGGGACUCAUCCUUUUUCGACACCUUUGCGGGAUCCAGCCCUCCAAGGAAAGCUUCCUGAGCAGUGCGCGCCACGUGUAUUGGGCACCUCACCGCGGCCACUUCACAUCCUAUCUCAGGUGGAGAAACUAAGCCACAGAAAGGAGCUGUCAUUUACCUAAAGCACCGUGGCAGGGGUUUGGCAGAGCCAGGAUUUGUACCCAGAUCGCCUGACUUCGGAGAGUAACAGCUCUUAACCACAGCACUUCGGUCUAUGCCUUGAUUUCACCAUAUGUAACAAGCUGUGCCACUUUGCAUUCCCACCAGCAGCACGCAAGCGUUCGAAUUUCUCCGCACGCUCCCCAACAGGACAAGAGCUUGCCGUGUUGCCCCAGGCUGGUCUCAAACUCCUAGCCUCAAGCAAACUUCCUGUCUCGGCCUUUCAAAACCCUGAGAUUACAAGCAUAAGAAAAGAAAAUCUUGUAAGAUGAAAGCUGAAGGAUGAGAGCAAUUAAUUGAUGAAGUAUGAUGAUCCAGGUGUCCCUGGGUGAAGAAACAACCUCUACAAAGGCCCUGAGGUAGGAAUAUGCCAUUAUAGGACCUAGGAGCUGUUCUCAGGGAGCUGACGGUGAUUGAGGCUCAUGGAACAAGAAAAGAAAAAUCAUCAUCACCAUUGUCACUAUCACUACCAUAGUCAGAUGAAGAGAUGGGGUCUCCCUAUGCUUCCCAGGCUGGUCUCGAACUCCUGGACUCAAGCAAUCCUCCUGUCUUGACCUCCCAAAGUGCUGGGAUUACAGGCGUGAGCCGCCUCACCUGGCCUAUAGAAUUUUAUACAAAUGAAAUCAUACU
rnacentral:lncRNA from 1 species